rnacentral:tRNA from 1 species
UNAAAAAGAUAGGAGUUGAACCU